UACGAAGGGGGCGAGCGUUGUUCGGAAUUACUGGGCGUAAAGGGCGCGCAGGCGGCUCUGAAAGUCAGAUGUGAAAGCCCCGGGCUUAACCUGGGAAUUGCAUUUGAUACUCUGGAGCUUGAGUACGGGAGAGGAGAGUGGAAUUCCCAGUGUAGAGGUGAAAUUCGUAGAUAUUGGGAAGAACACCGGGUGGCGAAGGCGGCCUGCUGGGCAGUAGCUGACGCUGAGGCGCGACAGCGUGGGGAGCAAACAGG
rnacentral:rRNA from 1 species